CGGAAUACUCAUGUGGCCCGCAGUGACAGGCACGCCGGGAGCAUUACUCAUUUUGGUCCCGGUGGGCGACAUGGCGUUCGGCAACCUCGGCGACUGAUAUAGAGACAUCAGUCUCCAGGGUUUGAGUAGUGGAAACACUGUGACAAGUGUGGCUCGGUCCCUGGAUUCCCUCCCAGCCUCUCUUAGACAGUUCCAGCUUCACAGCCACACGGCACCACACCUCAAACCGGGAAGAAUGCCCCUAUGCCCUGGGACGUGGCCUCGUACCGCGUUAUCCAUCUUCCAGACGGAGAUGUCACCUUCUGGAGUGCUUCAGACAGCUCUGGAGUGAGGACGUGAUGACAGGAGGUGGCCUUUCCGUUUUCAUAUUGUUCCUCCGGAGUCUGCUUCCAAAGGACCCGGGUUUUUCUUUCCCUUCUGAGACAACUUAGGAUUGUCCGUGUUAAUAAACAUUCCAAAAACAUA